UGAGUACGAGAUGCUACGGCAUCGAAGCAGUCUAUGUCAUACUUCCAAGAAAAGCUUGCACUGUCAUAAACAAAGAAUGCCUGUACCAUAACCGACACAGGUGGGUAGGUAGAGUAUACUAAGGGGCGCGAGAUAACUCUCUCUAAGGAACUCGGCAAAAUGACUCCGUAACUUCGGGAGAAGGAGUGCCUUAUUUCUAAGGUUGCAAUAACAAGAUCCAAGCAACUGUUUACCAAAAACACAGGUCUCCGCUAAGUCGUAAGACGAUGUAUGGGGGCUGACGCCUGCCCAGUGCCAGAAGGUUAAAGAAGUUGGUUAGCAUUAGCGAAGCUGAUAACUGAAGCCCUGGUGAACGGCGGCCGUAACUAUAACGGUCCUAAGGUAGCGAAAUUCCUUGUCGGGUAAGUUCCGACCCGCACGAAAGGCGUAAUGAUUUGGAUACUGUCUCGGAGAGGGGCUCGGUGAAAUAGACUUGUCUGUGAAGAUGCGGACUACCUGCACCUGGACAGAAAGACCCUAUGAAGCUUUACUGUAACUUGAGAUUGAAAUUGGACUUUAUUUGCGCAGUAUAGGUGGGAGGCGUUGAGAAUAAUCUUGCGGGAUUGUUGGAGCCAUCAGUGAGAUACCACUCUUGUAAUGUUAGAUUUCUAACUUUGUAUCAUUAUCUGGUCAAAGAACAGUUUCAGGCGGGCAGUUUGACUGGGGCGGUCGCCUCCCAAAGGGUAACGGAGGCGCACAAAGGUUUCCUCUGAACGGGUAGAAAUCGUAUCUAGAGUGUAAAGGCAUAAGGAAGCUUGACUGUGAGACCUACAAGUCGAGCAGGGACGAAAGUCGGUCUUAGUGAUCUGACGGUGCUGAGUGGAAAGGCCGUCACUCAACGGAUAAAAGUUACUCUAGGAUAACAGGCUGGUCUCCCCCGAGAGUUCACAUCGACGGGGAGGUUUGGCACCUCGAUGUCGGCUCAUCGCAUCCUGGGGCGGUAGUCCGUCCCAAGGGUUGGGCUGUUCGCCCAUGAAAGCGGUACGCGAGCUGGGUUCAGAACGUCGUGAGACAGUUCGGUCCAUAUCCGGUGUAGGCGUUAGAAUAUUGAGAGGAGCCUUCUCUAGUACGAGAGGACCGAGAAGGACAUACCUCUGGUGUACCAGUUAUCGUGCCAACGGUAAACGCUGGGUAGCUAUGUAUGGAGUGGAUAACCGCUGAAAGCAUCUAAGUGGGAAGCCCACCUCAAGAUAAGUAUUCU
rnacentral:rRNA from 1 species